GUAGGUGGCAAGCGUUGUCCGGAAUUAUUGGGCGUAAAGCGCGCGCAGGUGGUUCUUUAAGUCUGAUGUGAAAGCCCCCGGCUCAACCGGGGAGGGUCAUUGGAAACUGGGGAACUUGAGUGCAGGAGAGGAAAGUGGAAUUCCACGUGUAGCGGUGAAAUGCGUAGAUAUGUGGAGGAACACCAGUGGCGAAGGCGACUUUCUGGCCUGUAACUGACACUGAGGCGCGAAAGCGUGGGGAGCAAACAGGGAUUAGAUACCCUGGUAGUCCACGCCGUAAACGAUGAGUGCUAAGUGUUGGGGGGGUUUCCCGCCCCUCAGUGCUUCAGCUAACGCAUUAAGCACUCCGCCUGGGGAGUACGGUCGCAAGACUG
rnacentral:rRNA from 1 species